GCCAGUGUGGUGUAGUGGUUCGAGCGUUGGACUAGGACUCUGGGGACCAGGGUUCAAAUCUCAACUCGGCCA
rnacentral:tRNA from 1 species